GAAUAAAAAUUAAGGCGCACAGAGUUUGAUUGGAAACGCUCAGGAAAAUGCAGCAUGUAGGAUGUUUUGGAAGACAUCGCGUCAAUUGACAGAACGACCUUAAAAACUGACAUCAGCACGGAAACAGAAAAGGUAUUUUGCUUAAAAGGAAAACUUCAUAGGAGUGGAUUAGACAAGUAUUUCCUUAUUGAGUUCCACGAAGUCACAUGACAGUGAUAAGAAACCGAAGAAAAGAAAUCGAAGAAAAAACAAUAUUCAGGCGUAGCUAGGGGGGUUGGCCCAGUCCCUCCCCUUUUUAGAAGCCAAAAAAUACAGUAAUUGUAUGAGACAUUAUGUAAAAUACAGGAAAAACUGCAUCGAAAGGCCCUUUUGGGCCCCCUCCUGUUAAAAAUCCUGUCUACGCCGGUGAUAUUGGCCAAUGAAAUGAACCGAUGGCACUAGAACCUUAAACUAGGCUUAUCUAUUUGUUUUGGUCGCACUUGCCCUAAUAUUUCCAAGUCAAAUGUGCUGUCGAAAGUUAGUGUCUCUUUCUUCUUUUUAAAGAAUAAAGCAGCUCUUAAAAUUG